rnacentral:rRNA from 1 species
AGUAGUUGUCCUGACCAAUCUCAUCUGAUCUCAGAACCUAAGCAGGAUUGGGUCUUGUUAAUACUAGGAUGGGGGCCACAGGUGAGCAGAAGUGUCUCUACUC